rnacentral:tRNA from 3 species
CCUUAGCUCAGCUGGGAGAGCGCCUGAUUUGCAUUCAGGAGGUCAUCGGUUCGAUCCCGAUAGG